rnacentral:rRNA from 1 species
UACGGAGGGUGCAAGCGUUAUCCGGAUUUACUGGGUUUAAAGGGUGCGUAGGUGGGUCUGUAAGUCAGUGGUGAAAUCUCCGAGCUUAACUCGGAAACUGCCAUUGAUACUAUAGGUCUUGAAUUAUCUGGAGGUAAGCGGAAUAUGUCAUGUAGCGGUGAAAUGCUUAGAUAUGACAUAGAACACCAAUUGCGAAGGCAGCUUACUACGGAUCGAUUGACACUGAGGCACGAAAGCGUGGGGAGCAAACAGG